UUAAGUUCAGCGGGUCUUCCUACCUGAUCCGAGGUCAACCUUGGGUAAAAUAAGGCUUUUAACGGCCGGAACCCGCAGCACGCCCUGAGCGAGGUGUAAACUACUACGCUCGGAGUGACUAGCGAGCCCGCCACUGGUUUCAGGGCUGCGGCAGCCGCAGGGCCCCAACACAAGCCCGGGGCUUGAUGGUUGAAACGUGA
rnacentral:misc_RNA from 1 species